AAACUUGCUUCAACAGCACAUAUACUAAAUUGGAAUGAUACAGAGAUUAGCAUGGCCCCUGAAAAAGGAUGACACGCAAAUUCGUAAAGUGCUCCAUAUUUUU
rnacentral:snRNA from 1 species